rnacentral:tRNA from 1 species
GGGGGCAUAGCUCAGCUGGGAGAGCGCCUGCUUUGCACGCAGGAGGUCUGCGGUUCGAUCCCGCGCGCUCCCACCA